GCCGAGGUGGCGGAACCGGCAGACGCGCUACGUUCAGGGCGUAGUGGGCAAUAGCCCAUGAGGGUUCAAAUCCCUCCCUCGGCA
rnacentral:tRNA from 1 species